AAAAUCAAUUCCCAAAUCUGAUAUCCCAAAUUCCCAAUCCCUAUUGCUUUAACACCUCAGCCCGUCAGCCGACGUCUUCGUCGUCUUCUCCCAAGACCUUCACUCUUCGUCUUCUUCUUCGAGUCUUCUCCCAGCCGAGUAGUAGCCGAGAGCCAGCGACGCAGCCACUCGCCUAGCCGGACUCAGCGAGACCGCAGACCUAGACGCACCCACUCCGGUCACGACGCAGUCAGCCAGUCACUCCGGUCUCCGGCAGCUAUUCCCAUUGUCGGAUUUGUCGCACUGCUCGCAAUCCUCAGUCCUCACAGAGUCACAGAUUAUUUGGUAAUACUUGCAAAAACAUACACAGUAAAGAAUGACCGAAAGAUUGGAAAGGCUGUGUGAUGUGUGUGGGAAUCUUGGAUUUAGUGAUGGUGGUGACGGAUUCUUUUAUUGCACUCGUUGUAACUCUCAAGCUAAUGAUUUCGUCGAUACUGGCGUAGAUGAUGCUGACUUGAAUGCAUUUGAUGGUGGGAUCUAUUCUACCACCCAAACUCGUGCUCGUCCUAGGCAGGAGGCCAUUGUAGCUGAGCAAAUUUCUCAGCUAAAGGCUUCACAGUCCCAGUAUCAAGAGAUACUAAAAACCAUGGAUGACUAUAAUGAUGAUACUGUCAAAAAUGGUGUUGGCCCUACUGAGCCAAGUGACUUUGGUUCUGCCCAAGAAACUAUCAUUUCACCAGACGACUAUUAUUCAGAGAUCAGGAAGAGGUAUGUUAUGGGAGUUCAAAUUAUGGUCCAGUUGCAGUGUAAGGCUUUGGUGGAGAAAUUUAAUGUAAGCCCCUUAAUUGUUGGGCUUACAGGGCCAAUUUGGUUGAGAUAUUUGGCUUAUGAAAGGGUGAUGGCUGAUGAAUGGGCAGAUGAGGUUAUUCAUGAAUCACAAUCCCAAACACAAGGGGAUGUUGGUGAGUGGCCUGCGGCUAAGCACAAAGCAGAACCUCACAACCUUCUUGGUAAACGAGCAAUACCAAUUUGGCAUAGAUCUCUGAGAAGUAAGAUUCCAUUAUCUUGUUCUCUGGCUAUCUCAUUUCUUGUUUGUCAUAUGGCCAGAGAGGCAAUCCUGCCAACAGAUAUAGUGAAGUGGACACUUGAAGGCAAACUUCCAUAUUUUGCUGCUUUUCUUGAAAUUCAGAAGCAACUUGGGCCAUCUUCAAGGGCGUGCCCUAUUAGUGCCAGUUGCAUGUUCAGGCCUACUCAGGCUAUCUCCAUACAGAAAUUAGAGUCAUUUGCAGCUUCAAUUGGUCGGAGAAUAGGUUUAGAACUUCCAGCUGUGAAUUUCCAUGCUAUAGCUUCCCGUUAUCUAAGAGAGUUAUCUCUUCCUGUUGAAAAAAUUCUUCCUCAGGCUUGCCAUGUGUAUGAGUGGUCUAUGCCUCCAGAGCUUUACUUAUCAGACAAUGAAUCCAGGCUCCCUUCUCGUGUUUAUGUUAUGUCCAUUGUGAUUGUAACAAUAAGGAUUAUGUAUGACUUAAAUGGUGGGAAAUGGGAAAUGAUGUUAUCUAGACCCAGUGCUGAGGAGGACUUUGCUUUGCAUAACUCAGAUCAUUUUGAUAAUAUGUUAGAUGAGGAGGAAGCUGAUUUUGAUGCUUUGAGGCUUCUUCAAAUCCUGGAAACAAAAUAUUCUGAGCACAAAGAUAUAUAUGACUAUGCACAAGAUUUGGCAUCGUAUCUUCAAUACUGUAAAGAUGUGGUUUUUGCUGGAAUAAAUUCUUCUUGUGAGGAUCGUGAAGAAGAAAGUGUAAUAGAGGAACUAUGGGAUUUCUAUCAAAAGAAUAAGGAUGUUGAACCAUCAGAUGGGCUUAAAAAGAGUAAGGAAUUACAGGGGGGCGGCAGUAAUUACGGCACAGCAGAGGAUGGUGCUAAUUCCCCAGGAGAUAACAAAUCAUUACAUGAUGGUCAGUAUUUUAACGAGUCCUACAAGGAUAGGGCAAUAAGGCAACUGAAAUCAAAUAUGGAGGAAAAUCGAUUUUGUUAUAUUCCACCCAGUAAGCACACCCAAAAGAGGAACUAUGGUUACAUCCGCUAUUCUAGAAAGAAAGAUGGUGCCUACGUCUAUGCUGUCCAUGCUGAUUAUUACAUACUACUUCGGUCCUGUGCACAAAUCGCUCAAGUUGAUGUUCGGACUAUGCAUCAUGGAGUGUUGACUUUUCAGAAGAGAUUGGAACAACUGGACAAUAGAAUUGAUUAUUGCUUGCAUAGGAAACUUCCUGGGGACUUCUGUGAUUUUUGCUGCGGUUGAGUGUGGAGAUGAAGCUAAAGCUAAAGCUUCAUUUGCCGACUUUGUCCAAUUCUAUUUAUAGGUGAGAGUUGGGGAAUGAUGACCCUUUACAAAUUGGCUUUUAUUAGCUGAAUGUAACAGUGUCUUAAAAUUGAGAAAUGGUAUGAGCACUAUAUUUUCUUUAUGGCUUAAUAUCAACCGGGCUCUUGCAAAGAAGCAGGAUCUGGAAGCUUGUAAAGAAGAAUGCAGAUUAGUUCAAAUCUCAGGAUAAUAUGAGUCAUAGGAGAAGGAAUUGGUUUAUUUAAAAAACUAGACAAGAUUUGAAGAUGGCUUUAUUCCUGAAGGCAAAGAAGAUGGUUUUAUUCCAGGGGGAUGAGGGAUGUAGCUGUGAUUUGACCAUAGAAGCUGCUACUACCUAGGCAAGGACACAUGAUGUAUCCUGCUCCUGAUAAUAGCGGAGUCACUGUAAGCACAGGAGAGAAUUACUCUAUAAUCCAUUGUUGUCGAAAUACAAGGAUGAUGGACGUAGCAGUCCCCGCUAACAUGGUACUAGGCUUGCAAGCCAUGAAAUUAUAAGCUUUAUAAAAGGAUUGCAUCCCAAUCUUGAGAACCGUUUAUCAGCCCUGUUCUGGAGCCUUGAUGGAAAAGAUAAAUCAAGGGAUGUGCGAACGGCCUAAGGCGCUUGUAGGAUUCCAUCCCAAUCUUGAGAAUCCUUGUUCUGAAACCAUGAUGGAGAAGAUAAAUCAAGGGGUGUGCUAAUGGCGUAGAGUGCUGUUAGGAUUGCACUCCGAUCUUGAGAAUGAAGAUAAUCAAGGGAUGGAGUGCACUCUGAUCUUGAGAAUGAAGAUAAUCAAGGGAUGUGCUAACCACGUAUAGUGCUUGUACAUCGGUGCUUAUAACAGGACCAACUUCAUACCUUCAAUUGAGUUAUACGUUGUGAACAAAUAAUAAGCUUGAUAACAUCACGCUACAGAAGAUGAACCUGGGAGAAUGCCGGUUUUUAAAAUUAUUGAGUUGUAUUAUUUGCAGUGCUAUGAUUUUUCUUCAUAUUCUAAAUAAAGUUACCAAGCUACUGAAGAAAUUGAUUGUUCAAAAUGCAUGUAUUUAUUUUGGAGCAAUAUCUCUCUGGCCUUAAUGGCAAUUAUUCUGAGGACCUGAGUUCAUUUUGCAAGGCAAA